AUGAGAUUCUGCUAUCUUGGCAUAUUUCACUGUGCUCCCCUACAUGGAACUCAUCACUUGGCAGCGCUUGAGAGUGACAAUGAAAGGGCCAUUCAGCAGCUAAAUCAGUUUGCUGCAAGAACUGGGAUAUGGACAGUGACACUCAAACUCAGUGACACUAGACCCCUUUUUGGGGUCUACUGGCAGCCCACUUCACACCUCAGCUCUUUCCACCACAGUGCUGAGAAAGAGAUAAGGGAAUGAUUCCCCCAACAAAUACCAGAAGCUAAUGCAGUACAUCCAGUAACACUGUACUAACACCUUUUUCAUAACCUUUUUAAAAACAGGCAUGAUAUCUUUAUGAAUGACUUUCAGCUCCCGAGUGGCGCUUCGGUCUAAGGCACUGCAUCGCAAUGCUAGAGGCAUCACUACAGACCCUGGUUCGAUCCUGGGCUAUAUCACAACCGGCCGUGAUCGGGAGUCCCAUAGGGUGGCGCACAAUUGGCCCAGUGUUGUCUGGAUUAGGGGAGGGUUUGGCUGGGUAGGCUGUCAUUGUAAAUAAGAAUUUGUUCUUAACUGACUUUCCUAGUUAAAUAAAUGUUAAAUUCUGUACCCCUUUCAAAUAGUCUUACUCUAUAUCCUAUAGCUUGUGCUGUUAGCAUUUUCUUUGUUUUUUUUAGCCCAUUUUAAUCCUGACUUGGUUUCCUUUGUUUUUUUAAGACAAAACAUCCAUGUGCUGUCAACAAUUUCUCAGUUAUUUACAAUAUAUGCACUUUAUGUACUGUAAAUAUUUUCUCAAAACACAGUAGCACCGGUAAAAUAACUAGACGCUGGUUUACAACUCUGAAUUCCUGGUGGUUUAUUUUCUCUACAACAGAGCAAUAGAGGAGAGAACUGAACAUGAAUAUACCUGUUGACACGUUGACGGCAUCUGACUCACUUUCUCUCAUCUCUUUCCUUUCAUCAGCUAGGAGGGAGAAGGAAACAGAGGAACGAAGGAGCCGCCAAGUUCCAGGGAUGUCCGGGGCUUUAGUGGCAGGUCACGACAAGUACCUUUUAUCCAGUUUGAAAUGAACAGCUGUUGGAUCUCUUUCUCAAUCCUUGUGGAUUACGAUUCAUAAUUGAGGGGCUUAGACAAAGGAUGCAAUCAAACCAUUCUAUUCUAUUCUUACAAAACACACACAUACAGUUCACUCCCACUGUCCCACUUACACACGCUUUGGAGAUGACACCACUGCUCAAACUAUGGCACAAAGGAAAGUAAAGAAGGCACUACGACCUAAUUGAAUGGACAGAUCGUUAGGCUCAUUUCAUCAAAUGGCUUAUACCUGCAGCCUUGCUACCUAUAAAAACUUGACAGAAUCCAGAUUUGAAAGCCAUAGUAAUUAUUAGGGAUGUAACGAUUCACCAAUUUGCAUCGAUCCCAGUUCAAAUGUUAAAGAUAUGAGUGCAUUGGUCUGUCACCCCAAACCGAACUAAAUGUAGCAUGCAUCGUUCAGAAAAUCAAUACAAACGUUGACUUUUUGUUGCUCAAAUGACUUUAUUUAACAAGGCAAGUCAGUUG
rnacentral:lncRNA from 13 species